GGUAACCGACUAAAAUCCUUUUCCUUACCUACAACGCCAUCUAGUAUCGUCCUGUGACAUCUACACGUCAAGAUUGCAACCCCCUCCCGGGCGGUCGCGCCAAAAAGUAGUCGAAGAAAGAUCGAAGUCACGCAAUCUCGCGCGUAACAAAAUUAAAAAUACUCAAAAAUACCCAAAAGUGAUUACUGCUGUGUGAUAAUUAUUCAAUUCAUUCACCUCUAAGACAAGGAACAGUGCCCCGGGGACAGAAGAUUAACAGCAAGCCAAAUUCACAAAAAAUUUGCUGUAAGUACCUACCCCUUCCUUUUAGUCGGCAUUGUUUCUAUUUUGGGUGUUAAUUUAUAUCAACAAGCAUUAGUUUACGCAACAUAAUUUGGUUCUUCGAGCCGUAUGUAAUUGGCGUUUCAACAGGGUAUCAAAAUAGAUAAAUACACUUUAUUUCACUUGUUAGCCUACGCCUUGUAGGUACCUACUUACGUUUUAUUCAACUCAUAUUUUGCACAAAUAUUCAUUCAAUAGUUCUAUUUGUUGCAAUAUUAUAGUUAUAUACGUAGUAAUACAUCUAUACUUAUCUAUUUCUAUCAUAUUUAAUAUCUUUACGACUCAAUUUAGUGUAUUUUUGUGUUGCGGCACGCGUUAUACCUACCUACCAUUUUCGUUCGUAAUUCAAAAUGGCUCCGUUGUCGGAACUUGAAAUAAAAAUUAAUACACUUAUUAGUCGAAAAGAACGAUAUUUUAGGCGUGUUCAACAAUAUUAUGAUGUAGCUCAAAGUGUAGAGAACAAUAGUUUCGAACUUAGCAAAUUGUCCGUGCGGGUCACUGACCUCGAGUCCACGCGUGAGAUAUUUGAAAAAAUUGUCGAUGAAAUUACCGCGUUGCAAUUGAAACGUGACCCGAAUUAUAUUAUUUCUGAUCAAGAAGUACAUGCUUUCGAUGAUCUUUAUUUCGAGAUAAAACGAAUACUUCAAAAGUUUGAUGAAUCGUGCUCAAAAUCGUCGAAACAUAGUGAAAUAAAAAACGGAUCGGAACGCGGCGCCCAGCCUCGUUUACCUAAAAUCGAGUUAGUGCAUUUUGAUGGAAAAUUAGAGAAUUGGGUUACAUUUCGUGAUACAUUUUCGAGUUUGAUCCAUACAAAUACUGCGAUAGGCGAUAUCGAAAAAUUCUAUUAUCUAUUGUCAGUAGUCAGCGGACCUGCGCUUCAAAUCGUUAAAAGUUUGCCUGUAUCGAAUGAUAAUUAUACCAUCGUGUGGACAAGUCUAUGUGACAGGUACGAAAACAAACGUGCUAUAGCCACGCGUUAUUUGGAUAAGUUGUUUGCGUUUAAGCCGUUGCCUAAUGAGUCUGUAAACGGAUUAAAUUCAUUUUUAGAAACAUUUCAGGAGUGUGUUCAGGCCCUUGAAUUGUUGAAAAUAAAUGAUUUAGCGGGAUUUAUUCUAUGUUAUAUCGGACUUCGUAAUUUAGACCCGGUUUCUAGACGUGAAUUCGAACAAAAAAUUGAUUCUAAGGAAAUACCUAUUAUUAGAACAUUAAUCGAUUUUGUCAACAAUCAAACCCGUAUGUUAGAAAUGUCAACAAGUACAAGUACCUUUAAGCCCGGUGUUAGUAAGUUGUCUAUGUCUUCGUUUUCAAAUAUAUCUAGUGGUAAACCUAACACGAAAAAUAUCAAUACAAAAACGUGUUUGGCUAGUAAUGCGGCCACUGUUAAGGCUGAGCCUACAAACAAAGGCUGUUUGUAUUGCAAUAAACCUUUUCAUUCAAUUUAUAAAUGUUACGAAUACAUUGCGUUGACACCGGUGCAACGAGUAAACAAAAUAAAGGAACUCCGCUUGUGCGAGAACUGUCUCCGUCAAGGUCACGCGCUUAGCGAGUGUCCGUCAAAGAUAACGUGUACGGUAUGCAAAAGUAAACAUCAUCACACGUUACAUGUUGAUUCUAAAAUGAAUUUAGUGAGUACGGAUAGUGAUCGUUCUUGUUAUGAUAAUGUUAACAAUAAUCAUGGGACUCAAGUUUCAUUGACGUGUUCUACUGGGUCCACAGUAAUUUUAGGUACUGCGGUUGUUCAUGUAUCUGAUGUUUUAGGCAAAUAUCAGCCCGUACGUGUAGUGAUCGACAGUGGUUCUCAAACCAGUUUUAUGACAAAUGAUUGUGCACAACGUUUAGGACUUUCGCGUCAAAAGUGCAACACUCAGUUGUUGGGUUUAGGAGGAACAUCUGUUCGUGAUCAAGGUGUGGUUUUAUGUCAAAUCAAACCAACCAUAUCCAACAACCCCAUUUUCAAUAUUAAAACGGUAGUAAUUCCAAAAAUUUCUGGUGAUAUGCCAUCGGUCGAUUUGUCGGAAGGAUUAAAAUUCGAAUAUAAACAUUUGGUGUUAGCUGACCCUACCUUUUAUUACCCGAGCCGCAUCGAUAUGCUGCUCGGCAGUGACGUAUUUCCAUUAAUUUAUGACGGUGGUAAAUAUCAUCCGUCACGACAGGGAUUACCUUUGGCGUUAAGUAGUGUGUUUGGUUACGUGAUUACCGGUCAAAUGACAUUAAAUAAUAAUACUCAAAAUGUGUCGACUUGCAUGUUUACUAGUUCAGCAGAGGUUCAUGACUUAAUUCAAUCUUUUUGGGAGACUGAAACUUUAGCUUGUGACUUACCUAAAAACCCGGAAGACGUCAUAUCCGAACAUAUGUUUGUUAAGGAACAUAAACGGGAUAGUACCGGUCGAUACGUGGUGAGUUACCCGUUUAAACCAAACGCUGAUUUAGGUGAUUCGAAACAAAUUGCAUUGAAAAGAUAUCAAAAUUUAGAACGAAAAUUAUCGCGUUUGCCUCUUUUGCGAGGAGAGUAUAAAAAGUUCAUGGAUGAGUACGUUUCACUCGGUCACAUGGUUUGUGUCGGUGACGUCUCACAAGUGGAGUCAGGGUACGUAAUCCCUCACCACUGUGUUCACAAGCCUGACAGUAGUAGUACAAAACUUCGUGUAGUUUUUGACGCCUCCUGUCCAACUACAAACGAUAAAUCUUUAAAUUCUGUUUUAUACACAGGUCCAAAACUGCAAGCUGACCUUGUGGAAUUAUUAAUUCGUUUUCGAUUACGUGAAAUUUCAUUGUGCGGUGACAUUUCAAAGAUGUACCGUUGUAUAUUAAUUGAUAAAUCUCAACGUAAAUUUCAGCAUAUACUGUGGCGUGAUUCGCCCAGCGAACCUAUAAAGGUGUACGAACUGUGCACAGUGACGUACGGGGUAGUGAGUAGCCCGUUUUUGGCGAUCCGUACGUUGCAACAGUUAGCUGCGGACGAAGGCAGUCGCUUUCCCGACGCUGCCCGCGCUCUGCGCGAAGGGUUUUAUGUCGACGAUUUCCUUUGGUCAGUAGAUAAUGUAGAAGAAGCAUUGAAACUUCAGCAAGAGCUUGUUGAAUUACUCAAAUUGGGCGGAUUUGAAUUGCGUAAAUGGUCGAGUAAUAGCGUUCAGGUACUCAAUAAACUGCCUAACGAUCAACUCGAGCCCCCGGUUCAAUUUGAUGAUGGUAAAACCUUGUCGAUUAAAAUCCUUGGUUUACAUUGGUUACCGGAAGAAGACGCAUUUUCUUUCCGUACUACACCGAUGACAACGAAUGUCACGAAACGUUCGGUGCUUUCUGAAAUAGCUAAGCUAUUUGAUCCCUUGGGAUUCGCUGCGCCAUGCACAUUCCUUGCUAAGCAUUUUAUGCAAAAACUAUGGUGCGCGAAACUAGGAUGGGAUGAUUCUCUCCCUAAGACUUUACUUGAUGAAUGGUUAACCUUUUCAUCUCAAAUACCGUUGUUAUCGAAAUUGAGACAUAAUCGGCAUCUUUUUAUCAAACACCAUACGGUAGCUCAAGUAGUAGGUUUUUGUGAUGCUUCAGUGGCUGGAUUCGCAGCCACCGUGUAUAUUCGCAGUCAGGAUGCACAUGGGAAUGUGAACGUGAGUUUACUGUUAUCUAAAUCUAAGGUCUCGCCCUUAAAAACAGUAUCAAUCCCUCGUCUUGAAUUGAUAGCUGCUCAUUUAUUGUCAAAGGUUCUAUGCUAUGUGGUGGCUAUGUUGUCUAAAGACGUGCAGAUCGAUGAGGUGUUAGCGUUCACCGACAGUUCGGUGGCACUGACGUGGAUAAAUACGCCUGCAUUCAAGUUAAAAACCUUUAUUGCUAACAGGGUUACUAAAAUUAAUGAAAAUCCAUAUGAGCUGCAGUGGUAUCACGUCAAUGGUACUGAUAAUCCCGCCGAUGUGUGCUCUCGCGGUGCCACCCCGGCGCAAUUACUUGAGAUCGCGGAUCAGUGGCUCCGUGGCCCACACUGGUUGUAUGAACCACGACAAACAUGGCCGGUGCGGACAAUUGAUGAGUUUAGAGGUGAACCAUUAGAACUCAAACCUGUCAAACAUAAUUAUACAUUGCUGAGUGAAGGUUCCAACGUAAAAACGGAUUUUUACUCAAUAAUUCUUAAAUUUUCAAAUUUUAAUCGAUUAUUGCGUGUAUUUGCUUGGUGUCUGAGAUUCAUAAAUAAUUCUAGAGUUUCUUCCCUUAAUAGAUCAAAAGGUGCCUUGCUUACCGCUGAAUUAAAUCAAUCUCAUGAUAAAGUUAUUCAAAUAGUUCAACUUAAUCAUUUUCAACAUGACAUUGAAUCUUUAAAGAAAGGCAAUCAAUGCUCUCAAAGUCUACGUAAACUCGACCCGUUCAUAGAUAGCCGUGGUCUCCUCAUGGUGGGGGGUAGACUUUCACAAGCAGACUUGCCAUUUACUCAACGUCACCCAUUGAUUUUGCCUAAAAAUUCGCACUUUACUAAUAUUUUGAUAGACUAUUAUCACACUGUCUAUUUACAUACUGGGCCUAGGUCACUUCAAAAUAUACUAGCUCAAAGAUAUUGGAUUGUAGCUGCCAGGUGUAUAAUACGGUCUCGUCUGUCAAGAUGUAUUAGAUGCUUUAAAAAUAGGCCCUCUAUUAAUCAACCUAAGAUGGGUUCUUUACCUAAAUGCCGUUUACAAGAUGUAUACCCAUUUCACACAGUCGGUGUCGAUAUGGGAGGUCCAUUUUACAUUAAAGAGUCAACUCGACGUAACGCAAAAAUAUCAAAGGCGUAUUUAUGUCUUUUUGUUUGUUACUCAACGCGAGCAGUACAUCUCGAAGUAGUCUCUGCGUUAACUACUGAAUGCUUCUUGGCUGCAUUCGACCGAUUUACGGGUCGACGUGGCCUUCCGCAUACGGUCUAUUCCGAUAACGGUAAAAAUUUUGUGGCUGCCGGCAAGCAUUUCAAUGAAUUAUUUGACUUCUACAAUAAAAAUCAACAUCAACUAACUGAUAAGUUUACGGUCAGGAAGGUAACGUGGAAAUAUAAUCCUCCGGCAGGAAGUCAUUUUGGCGGAAUGUUUGAAGCCGGAAUUAAAUCGGCUAAAUAUCAUUUAAAACGCGUACUUGGUACACGUGCUUUGUCGUUCGAAGAACUGUGCACUUUAUUUUCUAAUAUAGAAGCGAUUUUAAACUCGCGGCCUCUGUGCAGUUUGUCAAACGAUCCCAACGAAUUCGACGUCUUGACCCCAGGACAUUUUUUAGUUGGUCGUCAAUUAGUGUCGACUCCUACUUACGACUCCUCGAAUACGUCUCUUAAUCGCUUAACGCGAUGGCAAUGUAUUCAGCAGGCCACGCUGCAUUUUUGGCGUCGGUGGAAAGGUGAAUACCUACAUACAUUGCAGCAAAGACAAAAAUGGCUAGUUGACACACCUAACUUAUCCGUAGAUGACUUAGUUUUGAUCCAUAACGACAACAUUCCAUGCCAACAAUGGAGCCUAGGACGUGUCGAAAAAAUUCAUCCCGGACUUGAUGGAAGGGUUCGCGUUGUUACCGUUCGAACGCAAAAUUCGCGACUGCAGCGCCCUGUCACUAAAUUGAGUCCUCUCCCAAAAGAGCAGGAUGAAUAGAUACAUUCUCAUUUUCAAAUUCAUUCAAUAUACAUACAUAUAUAUAUAGUUAAGUAAUAAAGUUAAAUAAUAUUUAUAGUUAUAUAUAGUAUAUUUAUAUCCACAUUUAUACAGUCCACUUAAAAUAUUCUAUAUCUAGAUAAUACCUAUUUUAUCUCGAACAGGUACACUGAUCUCGUAAGUUCUCGUAUUGUACUCAAAACAUUAUUUAUUCUGUGUUUAUCCAUUUUGAAAUCAAUGUUGAUUUCGGUGGGGGGAAAUGUUAGGUAACCGACUAAAAUCCUUUUCCUUACCUACAACGCCAUCUAGUAUCGUCCUGUGACAUCUACACGUCAAGAUUGCAACCCCCUCCCGGGCGGUCGCGCCAAAAAGUAGUCGAAGAAAGAUCGAAGUCACGCAAUCUCGCGCGCAUAACAAAAUUAAAAAUACUCAAAAAUACCCAAAAGUGAUUACUGCUGUGUGAUAAUUAUUCAAUUCAUUCACCUCUAAGACAAGGAACAGUGCCCCGGGGACAGAAGAUUAACAGCAAGCCAAAUUCACAAAAAAUUUGCUGGACCACGAUAUGCAGUUGUCUGUUAUCCACGAUGAAAUGGUAAAAUGAAAUUAUGUAUAAUUAAAAUUAA